rnacentral:rRNA from 1 species
CCAGCCGGCCAUAGCGCGUGGGUCCGACCCAGACUCGUUCCGAUCCUGGCAGUCAAACCACGCGUCGCCCCGGUGCUACUGACUUCCGAAAGGAGUCGGGAAGCCGAGGUGCCGGCGCCU